UGGUAGCUGGUAACCCAAUAUUAUGGGAUCAGAGAAACAACACAUACCUUGCUAUCUGGUUGAGCUAAUUGAGCGCACAUUAUUCAAGGAAAUGCAGAAAGGAAGAGAAUGAACCUCAAUAUCAUAUUCUACUUUUCUGUAGCAAUUCCUUAGGAUCACCGAAAGUGCUUCAUGUAAAAGCUUGCCAUUUACUUUAAAUAUGUAUUUCUAGACCAAUGCAUAAUCUCAAAACAUGAAGAGAUGAGGUAUCCAAACCCAUGGGAACUAAUUAAUUUACCUGGGCGGUAGCUUUGCAAGUGAAUAUCUCAUCAAACCAAAAUUGAGAGCAAAACUUCAGAAGUUGCCUCAAGAACCAGGAUGAAAACCAACUGUACAAAUUUGAGAUUGGAAA
rnacentral:lncRNA from 1 species